rnacentral:rRNA from 1 species
UGGGGAAUUUUGGACAAUGGGCGCAAGCCUGAUCCAGCCAUGCCGCGUGCGGGAAGAAGGCCUUCGGGUUGUAAACCGCUUUUGUCAGGGAAGAAAUCUUCUGAGUUAAUACCUCGGGAGGAUGACGGUACCUGAAGAAUAAGCACCGGCUAACUACGUGCCAGCAGCCGCGGUAAUACGUAGGGUGCAAGCGUUAAUCGGAAUUACUGGGCGUAAAGCGUGCGCAGGCGGUUUUGUAAGACAGAGGUGAAAUCCCCGGGCUCAACCUGGGAACUGCCUUUGUGACUGCAAGGCUUGAGUGCGGCAGGAGGGGAUGGAAUUCCGCGUGUAGCAGUGAAAUGCGUAGAUAUGCGGAGGAACACCGAUGGCGAAGGCAAUCCCCUGGGCCUGCACUGACGCUCAUGCACGAAAGCGUGGGGAGCAAACAGGAUUAGAUACCCUGGUAGUCCACGCCCUAAACGAUGUCAACUGGUUGUUGGGAAGGUUCCUUCUCAGUAACGUAGCUAACGCGUGAAGUUGACCGCCUGGGGAGUACGGCCGCAAGGUUGAAACUUAAAGGAAUUGACGGGGUCAUAGCUGUUUCCUG